rnacentral:rRNA from 1 species
GACGAACGCUGGCGGCGUGCUUAACACAUGCAAGUCGAACGGAAAGGCCCUGCUUUUGUGGGGUGCUCGAGUGGCGAACGGGUGAGUAACACGUGAGUAACCUGCCCUUGACUUUGGGAUAACUUCAGGAAACUGGGGCUAAUACCGGAUAGGAGCUCCUGCUGCAUGGUGGGGGUUGGAAAGUUUCGGCGGUUGGGGAUGGACUCGCGGCUUAUCAGCUUGUUGGUGGGGUAGUGGCUUACCAAGGCUUUGACGGGUAGCCGGCCUGAGAGGGUGACCGGCCACAUUGGGACUGAGAUACGGCACAGACUCCUACGGGAGGCAGCAGUGGGGAAUAUUGCACAAUGGGCGGAAGCCUGAAGCAGCAACGCCGCGUGCUGGAUGACGGCCUUCGGGUUGUAAACCGCUUUCGCCUGUGACGAAGCGUGAGUGACGGUAAUGGGUAAAGAAGCACCGGCUAACUACGUG